rnacentral:tRNA from 1 species
GGAGAGGUGUCCGAGCGGUUUAUGGAGCUGGUCUUGAAAACCAGUGAUCGUCUCACGGCGACCGUGGGUUCGAAUCCCACUCUCUCCGCCA